rnacentral:rRNA from 1 species
UACGUAGGCAGCAAGCGUUGUUCGGAGUUACUGGGCGUAAAGGGUGCGUAGGCGGCUUUUUAAGUUUGGUGUGAAAUCUCCCGGCUCAACUGGGAGGGUGCGCCGAAUACUGAGAGGCUAGAGUGCGGGAGAGGAAAGUGGAAUUCCUGGUGUAGCGGUGAAAUGCGUAGAUAUCAGGAGGAACACCGGUGGUGUAAACGGCUUUCUGGACCGUAACUGACGCUGAGGCACGAAAGCGUGGGUAGCAAGCAGG